rnacentral:rRNA from 1 species
AUGGCUGGCCUCCUCGGCGCAUGCCAUACGAUAAAGGUUCAUAUCAGACAAGGCAACCACAACAGUACAGCCAUGAUAAUCUCAUGGGUGACAACAGUCAGAACCUGGAUCGAGCACUGUGUUUUACGGGACUUUUUUUUUUCGAAACGGAUUUACGGGACUUCAGAAGAUAAUCUCAAUUGUUCUGCAAAGGGAAAGCAUUCGCAGUAUACGUUCUACAAAUAUACCUCGAGAUACGUUCAUCAUUGUACAAUCAAGAACCUGAAGUUUGACACAAAGUAUUACUAUGCCGUUGGAACUGAAGAGACGCUGAAAAAGAUUUGGUUUAGGACCGCUCCGAAAAGUGGCCCAGAUGCAUAUACAUUUGGUCUGAUAGGUGAUCUCGGUCAGAGUUUCGACAACAAUGUCACGCUCGCUCAUUAUGAGUCCAAUGCGGACGGCAUGGCAACAAACGCGCGCCCCCCUCCUCCCCCGCGCCCGUCAACCCACCAGCCUCUCCCGGCGCGUGCCAUUCCGGGCUCGCCGGCCACCAUCAGCUCCCUUUCCCUGCGCCCGUUCCAGCUGCCGCCGCCGCCUGCCCGCCUGCCGGAAAAUUUCUUUCCGGUCGUCCUACCCCUGUCUGCUGCUGCGUCGCCUGUGGCCGAUCUAGAUCCGCCCUCCCCGGCCUCGCGUGCGCGGUUCCGCGCUGCUGUGCUUGCUGGCGAGGUUCUGGAGACGCCGCCUACCCUUCAAGGCGGGGGCGUGCGCGUCGCCUCCAUCAUCGUCGCGUCCGACGCGGCUUUGCUGCGCAUUAAUGAAGAAGCUGUCAUCAAUGCGCGCGACUGCACGGGCGGCGAUGGGACGCCGAUGUUCCUCCAGGCCGGGUCUUCCGCUGCCAACGCCGCCCGCGCGCGGUGA